AAAAAAAAUAUUUGUUUGGUGAGCCACGCUCCCAUCCGGAUCCGCGGGGGAGGACGGCGAUUUCGUCCCCAGCCUCAUGAGGUCGGGAAGGGGUUCCCGCACCCACAUUUGUGAACCUCGCCGGCGCCCAUCCCCUGCCUUCACGAACCCGCCGCCGCCCGUCCCCUACUCUUCCUCGUGCACCCACCGUCGCUCGUCCCCUCGUCUUCCUUGCGCACUCGCCGUCGCCUCCUCCUCACCCUCACGCACUUGAGGCCAGCUGCAGAACGAGGUCGGACGGCGGAGACGAGGUCGAGGUCUACGACCUCCUCAACUUGCGCAAGACUGCCGAGACUGCAGGGACAAGCUCUUUGCUGCCUCGUCAGCUGCUAGCUGACUUCUCGUUUGUAGUAUGUGAAUAUCUUAUUUGACAAAGUGAUACACAAGGGUUUUUCAUCAACAAGUGGUCGCCAGAAGAACUGAAACAUCAAGAUGGCGUUUGCUUUUAGGUCAUGCCAUUCAGGAGAUGAUGCUAAGCUAAAUAAUCACAUCUAUGUGUACACUGAGACUGUUUUAUUAUGAGACUAUGUUUUAUUAUGAUGCACUGAGACUAUGUUUGUGUACACUGAGACUGUUUUAUUAUGAUGCACUGAGACUGUUUUAUUAAGCA